rnacentral:lncRNA from 1 species
CAACAACUCACCAACCGCUGCCGCUGCAGUCUGCUGCGCCUCUACUGAGGUGACUCUGCUCUCCCACUGGGCUUCAAUUCUCAACAAGCCUCGAAAAGGCCCUCUCUCUGCUGUUCACCACUGCACCAGUUCCUGGGCUCAGAACGAUAGCCUUCGGGAUCCCUGCGCCGUGCUGCUGUCCGGGCGGGGCUCCCGCUGCGGCCUGCGCGCAGGCGCACCGGGUGUUCCUGGGGCCUCUGACUGGGGCCUCUGACUGGGGCCUUCGCUCUCCUGUUUCUGGCUUCCCCGUCGGCCUCUCUGGCUGGGGCCUGCGCGCCCUUAAGACUGGUGUCCCCUCGGGCCUCUACCUGGGGCCUCUACUGGGGCUUCUGACUGGGGCCUCUGCGCCUGCGCUGAUGGGAGGAAAAGUGGUUACAAAGCAGGCUGGCUGAAAAACAAAACAAAACAGAAAAGAAACAAGAUGUAUCAUGCACAUGUACCCACUCCCCAAGAUGAUUGUAAAUUAUAGCACUACAA